rnacentral:misc_RNA from 1 species
UGGAAGUAGAUGGUGUCGAAAUAGAGGUCCCUGAGGAUGCUGAGGGGGUACUUGUUGCAAACAUUGGAAGCUAUAUGGGUGGUGUAGACCUUUGGCAAAAUGAGGAUGAAUCCUAUGAUAAUUUUGAUCCGCAAUCCAUGCAUGAUAAGANUAACUUUGAUCCACAAUCCAUGCAUGAUAAGAUACUAGAGGUUGUGAGCAUAUCUGGAACAUGGCAC